AAACACAGCUUGUCCUGGAGAAAUGAGUGCUCUAGCUGCCUGGACUAUAAACCCUAGAAGUAAAAGCCUAUGGAAAGCUACACCGCUACACCGAGCGGCAGCAAGAGCAAGCAAAAUCCACUUAAGGUUUUAGUAUCCGUGCUCACUGUGUGCUCUCUACCUCCAGCACUCUGCAACCUCGUUCUUCUCUCCCGGCUAAGCUUUUAGGAAGGGAAGGAUCCAGGAGGGCCAUCUAGUGAGAAGAGUAUUAUCACUGAAACUGUAGUGCUUUAGAGCAUCAGAGAAAUAUCUUAAGGACUGUGUCCAGGCCGGUUUGCUCUCUGUGUCCUCUGGGGAAAAUGCUCCAGCAGAGGCACCCCGCAUCCAGGCCUGACAGGAGAGUGCGGAGGCCCUUGUUUGCGCCACUUUAGAGAUUUGUGUGAGACUAUUUGGGGACUUUAAGGACUCCAGCGGGAGGAGAACAGGCCAAGAACUUCCAGCAGUGGAUGCAGGUGCGAUUCUGAGAAGGCAGCUGCAACUUUUCUCUUUUUAUUUCUUACAGAUUUGUGUGACCAAAGAGGCAUCGCCGGCCGCCUGGUUUCUGGGCAGUUAAAAGGCGGGGAAAACCCGGAAUGUUCUCUCACUUCUGGCUUCCGGGAAACACGGGAGGAAAUCAAGGGCAGCACCCGCCCGAGCGUGAAUCUGCAUUAGACUACCUUGCAUGGAGACUGCCCUGGGUCCAAGGGCGAAGACAUGAUCAGCACCUCUCGUCAUGUGAAGAGGCACUUGGCAUCUUGGAUUCACACCAGCCCUGGCCGUGGGGAAGGAGCCAUGUGUUGAUUGAAGCAGUCUGAAAUUGGUGAUUCGGAGUGGUGGAAAAACAAACUAGGGUCCCUGACCAGGCCCACCCGUAGCUCCAUAUGCUGUUUUCCUGCCACUCAGCCUCUGAUGGAUGAGAGAAGGUGGCUCUGGAGGAGAGGAAGGUGGGGGUGGGGGGAGGGAGAGGACUGCAGGUGCUCCAAAUUAGGAAUAAUUCGGCAGAUUAGCCUAAUGAAGUCAAAAAGUUAAUUUGUAGCUGCCAGCUGUUGAGCAGUAAGUUAUAAAGUGCCCCAGCCCCACCACAGAUCAGCGCAGGGAAUGCAAAAAGCCAGAGCCAGUCACCCAGAGGACUUGGAAGAAACACCUGCAAAGGUGUCAGCUUGAGAGGAGCUCUCAGGAGCCAGGUGGCCUCAUGGACAAAAGAGAUCUUAGAAAUAAUGACUGUUGGUGACCUGGGCUUGUGAAGGGGUGGGGAGUGGGGUGCGGGGCCCGCUGCUGUCCUUGCCUAGAGCACUGGAACUGAUCCCUAGCUUAGAAAACAGUUGUCAAUUGGUGUGAAGCUUGUAGAUUUAGCACAGAGAUAACAGGGAACAAUAGUUCUCCCCUCUCUGGGGACAAUUUACCUUUGGUACCAUCACUCUCCCUCAUCCCCCUACCCCUCUCAAUCUGUAAUUUUAACUAGCUCAUGGGGAAGAAAUAAAAGCAAAUCGUGGUUUGCCACACUGGAAGGAGAGUAUCUUCCUCCCCAGCACAGUGAUGGAUCCUGGGUCCUGUGAGCUCUUAGGGACAGUGUGGUCGCCCAUCUCUGUGUAACUCUUACUGAACGCCAUUCUGCACGCGACUGUUAUGUAUCUAGCUUUUUACUCUUAAAAAAAAAAUGGCUGGGAGAAUGAGAAGGUAGCAACUUGCACUGUGCUUCAGGAAGCACACAGGAGAAACUACAGGAUGUCGUUUCCCUGGGAAGGGUUGCUCUAACCCCACAGAUAAUACGGACACUGCAUUCAAUAGACCUCGAUGAUGCUUGCCUCGUAGGGCUGCGUUCAUGGGCCCGCAAGUGUCUGUCCUUCCAAACAUUCAGUUUCAAGUGCGGGGGGAAAUCAAACCAAACCCAUAGAUCUAAAUAAAUAUCUACUG
rnacentral:lncRNA from 1 species